AUUGAACGCUGGCGGCAUGCCUUACACAUGCAAGUCGAACGGCAGCACGGGAGCAAUCCUGGUGGCGAGUGGCGAACGGGUGAGUAAUAUAUCGGAACGUGCCCAGUCGUGGGGGAUAACGCCGCGAAAGCUGUGUUAAUACCGCAUACUAUCUAAGGAUGAAAGCAGGGGAUGGCAAGACCUCGCGCGAUUGGAGCGGCCGAUAUCAGAUUAGCUAGUUGGUGGGGUAGAGGCCCACCAAGGCGACGAUCUGUAGCUGGUCUGAGAGGACGACCAGCCACACUGGAACUGAGACACGGUCCAGACUCCUACGGGAGGCAGCAGUGGGGAAUUUUGGACAAUGGGCGCAAGCCUGAUCCAGCAAUGCCGCGUGCAGGAUGAAGGCCUUCGGGUUGUAAACUGCUUUUGUACGGAACGAAACGGCCCUUUCUAAUACAGGGGGCUAAUGACGGUACCGUAAGAAUAAGCACCGGCUAACUACGUGCCAGCCGCCGCCGUAA
rnacentral:rRNA from 1 species